rnacentral:rRNA from 1 species
ACGAACGCUGGCGGCUGCUUAACACAUGCAAGUCGAACGGAGUGGCGAACGGGUGAGUAACGCGUGAGCAACCUGCCUAUGACAGUGGGAUAGCCUCGGGCAACCGGGAUUAAUACCGCAUAGUCAUAGAUGGGCUCGCGUCUGAUUAGCUAGUUGGUGAGAUAACAGCCCACAAAGGCGACGAUCAGUUGGCGGUCGUAGAGGAAGAACGGCCACCAUGGUACUGAGGGCCGGUCCAAAACCCCACGGGAGGCAGCCGUGGGGAAUAUUGCACAAUUGGGGAAACCCUGAUGCAGCGACGCCGCGUGAACGAAGAAGGUAUUCGUAUCGUAAAGUUCUGUCCUAUGGGAAGCAGUACCAUAGAAGAAAGCUCCGGCUAAAUACGUGCCAGCAGCCGCGGUAAUUC